AGAAUCAACGCUGGCGGCGUGCCUAACACAUGCAAGUCGAACGAGAAAGUGGGAGCAAUCCCAUUAGUAAAGUGGCGCACGGGUGAGUAACACGUGACUAACCUACCCUUGAGUGGGGGAUAACCUAGGGAAACCUGGGCUAAUACCGCAUAAUACCUACGGGUCAAAGGAGCAAUUCGCUUUAGGAGGGGGUCGCGGCAGAUUAGUUAGUUGGCGGGGUAAUGGCCCACCAAGACAGUGAUCUGUAUCCGGCCUGAGAGGGCGCACGGACACACUGGAACUGAAACACGGUCCAGACUCCUACGGGAGGCAGCAGUGGGGAAUUUUGCGCAAUGGGGGAAACCCUGACGCAGCAACGCCGCGUGGAGGAUGAAGCCCCUUGGGGCGUAAACUCCUUUCGAUCGGGAAGAUAAUGACGGUACCGGAAGAAGAAGCCCCGGCUAACUUCGCGCCAGCAGCCGC
rnacentral:rRNA from 1 species